CUCAGCGCGGCCAUUUUAGUUUUGGCCAAACAAGAACAGUAAGCCUGUGUUUUGGAGGAAACGUCUGUGCACAGCUGAUUUAGUUUGUGAUCGACUGAUUUGGGUUAUUAAUAUGUAACUUAAUACCAACUAAUAGCUGUUUGCCAACCGCAAAUAAACUCAACAUUAAGAACAAUUUUAUAUGACAACCAACUGGUGAAAGCUGCUCACGGCAAUGUUGCUCAUAGGAGAUCUUAUCGAUUCAAAGGCCUUUCCGAAUUGAUAUUUAAUUAGAAAACUAAACCGUAAAUCUAACCCUAACCUACCUACACCGAUUGCCGAGUAGGGUAGGCCAGGUAAGCCCGGACAGCUUAGUGCUAGCGAGUGCAAGCUACCAUAAUGUCCGUAGCCAGAAAAGUUCUUACCUUCCAACCAACACUGCCUUCUUGCCGCUCACUUUGAGUUUCAACCAUCGUUUAAGUUUCUCUGAAACAAAGUUGCCAAGACGUUCAAUCAAUUAACCAAUAACAUCCGCUUCACCUCUUUUUAGCGUAAUAGCUUGGCCGCCAUCCAGCAGAGGGCGCCGCUGGUCAACUUGAUGCAGAGAGUCAGUUGGUACAGAAACUGAGAUGGCGUCCGUACCAGCAAGGGAAAACUUAAACGUAACAUUCUUCAAGUUAAGACAACAGUCAUAAGAACAUAAGAAAUGCUAGCAAACUUUCACUGUCAAAUGUCAACAUCAAGCCUUGGCAAGGCCACAGAAAUAGAAAUUCACAGAACAAACUUCAGUCGAAUAGUAGAACAAACAAUUUGUGCGCUACUCUAACUGGAAUAAAACACAUGACCAACAAGCUUGAAACUGUUCAAAAUGGCUGACCUCAGCUCAUCCCUCAUCAACAAAUCUUUCAAAUUCAUCCCUGCUGAGAGCGACUGCUGCUCUCAAAUCUAAGAGAAGAGAGAAAUGUGACUCCGAAGAAGCUUCAUGAAAUAUUAACGGGAGCUGGUCGACACUGUCGGCUCUACACACCGAAACACUCGAAUGCAACACGCUCCCCUUGAUUUACUCAGAUCCCCAAAGAAGAAAAACAAACUGUGGCUGAAAACUUCACUUUCUUUGAGAAAAGUGAGCAAAAAUCUUUCUUUACAGUUUUUACUUGUGGUAGUUGAUCAAAAAUAAACUGGUUGUGUGUACAAAGUUUUAAAGAUGCA